CGUAGACGAAAGUUACGCUAAUACCGCAUAUUCUGUGAGCAGGAAAGCAGGGGAUCGCAAGACCUUGCGCUGAUUGAGCGGCCGAUGUCAGAUUAGCUAGUUGGUGAGGUAAAGGCUCACCAAGGCGACGAUCUGUAGCGGGUCUGAGAGGAUGAUCCGCCACACUGGAACUGAGACACGGUCCAGACUCCUACGGGAGGCAGCAGUGGGGAAUUUUGGACAAUGGGGGCAACCCUGAUCCAGCCAUGCCGCGUGAGUGAAGAAGGCCUUCGGGUUGUAAAGCUCUUUCGGCCGGGAAGAAAUCGCAUGGGUUAAUACCCUGUGCGGAUGACGGUACCGGCAUAAGAAGCACCGGCUAACUACGUG
rnacentral:rRNA from 1 species